rnacentral:rRNA from 1 species
UGCCAGCAGCCGCGGUAAUACGGGGGGGGCAAGCGUUGUUCGGAAUUACUGGGCGUAAAGGGCUCGUAGGUGGCCAACUCAGUCGGACGUGAAAUCCCUCGGCUUAACCGGGGAACUGCGUCCGAUACUGGAUGGCUUGAGAUCGGGAGAGGGAUGCGGAAUUCCAGGUGUAGCGGUGAAAUGCGUAGAUAUCUGGAGGAACACCGGUGGCGAAGGCGGCAUCCUGGACCGACACUGACGCUGAGGAGCGAAAGCCAGGGGAGCAAACGGGAUUAGAUA